UUCAUCUGUGGGCGAACAAGGAGGAAAAGAAGAAACAGAGGGCUGUCAGGCGAAGCGGGAGCCAGGGGAGUACGCGGGCGCUCCUGGGCAGGAGCCGGGUGGGCGCCCUUUCGGGAAGAGAACCCCGAGGGCCCAGUGCAGAUGAAUGAAUGGAUGGGGUUUGUCUUCUGGAGGAUGCCGAAGUGAGCUGCUCUUUGGUUCUUGAGUGGAAACGGAGUGGGGAGUGUCCCUGGGAACGCAACUUGGGGGCAGUUUCAGAUGGUCCCGGACAGGCGAGAGGAGCAAAGAAAUUCACUCAUCCGGAAAGCAGAUAGAGAAAGCCAGUGUGGCCGGAGCUGCGAUUUCCCUGCAAGGGUCGCGGGAGGAGGGGAGGCGAUGCGAGUGUUCCUGUUUGCGUUCGCUUGCGCCAGCUUCUCCAGCCCCUCAAGCGCAAAUGGGGAAAAGUCAGCUUGGAUUAUUGACUAGAAACACUACGUUAGAAGCCGGGGCUGCCCUAGCAACUGGACAGGUUCCAGCUCUGAUCUCCAGGCUGGGUAGGUCUCACCUGUGGCAGAAGCGCACAGCCUCCCCCGCCUUGAGUCCAGGAUUUCGGGAGGGCGGGAGUGGGGAGACUCCCGAGGGGAGAAGGAUCCCCGAAGCACCUGCGCAACCGGAUCCCACUACCUGUCCGUCUUCCGAGUCCCCGCAUCCUCCGAGCUGGACCCCAGGCCAUUUUUCAAGUGUCUCACCAGCUUUUGGACGCAGAGCUUCAAUGGUUGCUUAGCUCAUUAUAAAUUCUCUUCUUUAUACUUUUCAAGGCUGUAGCCGUAUAAACAAUCGGUUUUCUUUGUAUCAUAUAAAAUAAAAGAUCCAAGAUUUUUCCCCA